rnacentral:rRNA from 1 species
UGUCAAAUCAUCAUGCCCUUUAUGCCUUGGGCAACACACGUGCUACAAUGGCUGCAACAAAGUGACGCGAUCGGGUGACCGUGAGCAAAUCACAAAAAAGCAGUCUCAGUUCGGAUUGUAGUCUGCAACUCGACUAUAUGAAGCCGGAAUCGCUAGUAAUCGCAAAUCAGCAUGUUGCGGUGAAUACGUUCCCGGGCCUU